rnacentral:rRNA from 1 species
UACGGAGGGUGCAAGCGUUGUUCGGAAUUAUUGGGCGUAAAGCACGUGUAGGCGGGCUUGUAUGUCAGAUGUGAAAGCCCUCGGCUCAACUGAGGAAGUGCAUCUGAAACUGCAAGUCUUGAGUACGAGAGAGGAGAGUGGAAUUCCCAGUGUAGAGGUGAAAUUCAUAGAUAUUGGGAAGAACACCGGCGGCGAAAGCGGCUCUCUGGCUCGAUACUGACGCUGAGACGUGAAAGCGUGGGGAG